GUACUCUCACACUCUACUAGUAGAGAAGUGGACUUGGGUGUUGCUGCUUUGCGGUGGCUCAUCUUAAAUAUGCUAGUGCAACUCAUGGUUGGAUAUAGUACAGCGUGAUAAGUAUCUUCGCUGGCGCCUCAUGAAGAGGGUAUCUGAUUGGGAGCUCUGUGCUUUCAAACCGUCUUCGGACAAUCCCUGACA
rnacentral:misc_RNA from 1 species